GCCAGCCCGCUCAGAAACUUAAAGGAAUUGACGGGGCCCGCACAAGCGGUGGAGUAUGUGGUUAAUUCGAUGCAACGCGAAGAACCUUACCUGGUCUUGACAUCCCGGAGACCCUUAGGAAACUAGGGGGUGCUUCCAUCUGGAAGAAUCUGGAGACAGGUGCUGCAUGGCUGUCGUCAGCUCGUGUCGUGAGAUGUUGGGUUAAGUCCCGCAACGAGCGCAACCCUUGCCUUUAGUUGCCAGCAGUUCGGCUGGGCACUCUAAAGGGACUGCCGGUGUUAAACCGGAGGAAGGUGGGGAUGACGUCAAGUCCUCAUGGCCUUUAUGACCAGGGCUACACACGUACUACAAUGGCCGAUACAAAGGGCAGCGACACUGCGAGGUGAAGCCAAUCCCGUAAAAUCGGUCUCAGUCCGGAUUGGAGUCUGCAACUCGACUCCAUGAAGUUGGAAUCGCUAGUAAUCGUGGAUCAGCAUGCCACGGUGAAUACGUUCCCGGGCCUU
rnacentral:rRNA from 1 species